ACCGGUACCAACCCGAUACCAUACCGGUACUCAACACUGAAAACUUGCACUUUACAGAUUCCCAUGUUAAAACUCUGCUCUCGCGUCGCACUGAAUCCGUUUUUGCGUCUAUUUCGCGCCAUAAUGACUCCGACUUGUUCCGACACUCUCCAGAUGUGUUGACAAGCCUCAGAUGCUGAAAUCUUGCUGGCAACCCAAAAACUAGGGAUACUACAAUAAAUUAAAUAUACAAAUAAAAAUAUAAAAAUAUAGAAGAAAAUAAUCAAUAUUUGAUUGGUUAAUAAAAUAAAAUAUAUAUUGAAUUUUUUUUAGAAUGGAAAUAUAAUCCAAUGGAGAACAAAGAAAAAAACUAUAAAAGAAUAAAAAUUUGUUGCAUAGAUAGGAAUUAAAAAAUAUAAUUUAAUGCAAAAAUGAAGAGAAGGAGAAAAAAAAAAAAAGAGGAGUUUCAUUGGGGUUGGUUUCAUUACUUGACGAGUUAUAACGGGCUUCGGUUUCUUCUUUUCUACAUUAAAACCAAAUUUCAAAAGAAAAAAUUAGCAAUUAAAAUAAAAUGAAAAUAGGAGAGAAAAAAUAAAUUGUUUUUCUUUUCGAGAAAGGAAAAAAUAUAUUUUUGAAUUCAUAAUAAUAUAAAAUCUCACCUAAGGCGAACUCGAUUCGUAACUCUUAAAUUCAUCAUCACCUACUUCUCUAUAUUAAAUCAAAUCAAAAUUAUAUAAAUUAGUAUUUAGAAAUUGUUAAUAGUAAUUUGAAACCUAUAAAAAAAUGGAGAAGAGAGAGCAGAUAUGGGUUGAGGGGAAAGAGAGGGGGAGAUGAGGGGACGGAGGUUUUCUUGAGAGAGCGGGUUAGAGAUGAAAGGCUGAACGAUGGGAUAAGGAGGAGAUGAAGGGAAUAUACAGUGUGAUGGGGGGAGAUGAAGGGAUGUACGGCAGGAGGAUGGAAAAGAGAGAAGCCCACUUAUAAAAGGAAAAAGAAAAAGAAAUCAGAAAAGU
rnacentral:lncRNA from 1 species